CAGCCGCCACGGGAAUACGAAGGGGGCUAGCGUUGUUCGGAUUUACUGGGCGUAAAGCGCACGUAGGCGGACUUUUAAGUCAGGGGUGAAAUCCCGGGGCUCAACCCCGGAACUGCCUUUGAUACUGAAAGUCUUGAGUAUGGUAGAGGUGAGUGGAAUUCCGAGUGUAGAGGUGAAAUUCGUAGAUAUUCGGAGGAACACCAGUGGCGAAGGCGGCUCACUGGACCAUUACUGACGCUGAGGUGCGAAAGCGUGGGGAGCAAACAGGAUUAGAUACCCCAGUAGUCCCUGUCUCUUAUAC
rnacentral:rRNA from 1 species